rnacentral:rRNA from 1 species
AAUAGAUACCCCGGUAGUCCACCCCGUAAACGUUGGGAACUAGUUGUGGGGUCCUUUCCACGGAUUCCGUGACGCAGCUAACGCAUUAAGUUCCCCGCCUGGGGAGUACGGCUGCAAGGCUAAAACUCAAAGGAAUUGACGGGGACCCGCACAAGCGGCGGAGCAUGCGGAUUAAUUCGAUGCAACGCGAAGAACCUUACCAAGGCUUGACAUACACCGGAAACGGCCAGAGAUGGUCGCCCCGCAAGGUCGGUGUACAGGUGGUGCAUGGUUGUCGUCAGCUCGUGUCGUGAGAUGUUGGGUUAAGUCCCGCAACGAGCGCAACCCUCGUUCUAUGUUGCCAGCACGUAAUGGUGGGAACUCAUGGGAUACUGCCGGGGUCAACUCGGAGGAAGGUGGGGAUGGACGUCAAAUCAUCAUGCCCCUUAUGUCUUGGGCUUCACGCAUGCUACAAUGGCCGGUACAAAGGGCUGCAAUACCGUGAGGUGGAGCGAAUCCCAAAAAGCCGGUCCCAGUUCGGAUUGAGGUCUGCAACUCGACCUCA